CUUGACGACCAUAGCAAGGUGGUCCCACUCCUUCCCAUCCCGAACAGGACCGUGAAACGCCUUCGCGCCGAUGAUAGUGGACGUACGUCUGUGAAAGUAGGUCAUCGUCAGGC
rnacentral:rRNA from 1 species